GGAAGGCAAUCUGGACUGGUGUCCGGGGCGGUCUUCAAAACCGUUCGGCGGCGUUUGCGUCGCUGGUGUGUUCAAUUCGCACUGCCUUCCGCCA
rnacentral:tRNA from 1 species